rnacentral:rRNA from 1 species
CUGGAGGUAUCAGAAGUGCGAAUGCUGACAUAAGUAACGAUAAAGCGGGUGAAAAGCCCGCUCGCCGGAAGACCAAGGGUUCCUGUCCAACGUUAAUCGGGGCAGGGUGAGUCGACCCCUAAGGCGAGGCCGAAAGGCGUAGUCGAUGGGAAACGGGUUAAUAUUCCCGUACUUGGUGUUACUGCGAAGGGGGGACGGAGAAGGCUAUGUUGGCCGGGCGACGGUUGUCCCGGUUUAAGCGUGUAGGUGUGUGUUCCAGGUAAAUCCGGUUCACUUUAACACUGAGGCGUGAUGACGAGGCACUACGGUGCUGAAGCAACAAAUGCCCUGCUUCCAGGAAAAGCCUCUAAGCAUCAGGUAACAUCAAAUCGUACCCCAAACCGACACAGGUGGUCAGGUAGAGAAUACCAAGGCGCUUGAGAGAACUCGGGUGAAGGAACUAGGCAAAAUGGUGCCGUAACUUCGGGAGAAGGCACGCUGACGCGUAGGUGAAGUGAUUUACUCACGGAGCUGAAGUCAGUCGAAGAUACCAGCUGGCUGCAACUGUUUAUUAAAAACACAGCACUGUGCAAACACGAAAGUGGACGUAUACGGUGUGACGCCUGCCCGGUGCCGGAAGGUUAAUUGAUGGGGUCAGCGCAAGCGAAGCUCCUGAUCGAAGCCCCGGUAAACGGCGGCCGUAACUAUAACGGUCCUAAGGUAGCGAAAUUCCUUGUCGGGUAAGUUCCGACCUGCACGAAUGGCGUAAUGAUGGCCAGGCUGUCUCCACCCGAGACUCAGUGAAAUUGAACUCGCUGUGAAGAUGCAGUGUACCCGCGGCAAGACGGAAAGACCCCGUGAACCUUUACUAUAGCUUGACACUGAACAUUGAGCCUUGAUGUGUAGGAUAGGUGGGAGGCUUUGAAGUGUGGACGCCAGUCUGCAUGGAGCCGACCUUGAAAUACCACCCUUUAAUGUUUGAUGUUCUAACGUGGACCCGUGAUCCGGGUUGCGGACAGUGUCUGGUGGGUAGUUUGACUGGGGCGGUCUCCUCCUAAAGAGUAACGGAGGAGCACGAAGGUUGGCUAAUCCUGGUCGGACAUCAGGAGGUUAGUGCAAUGGCAUAAGCCAGCUUGACUGCGAGCGUGACGGCGCGAGCAGGUGCGAAAGCAGGUCAUAGUGAUCCGGUGGUUCUGAAUGGAAGGGCCAUCGCUCAACGGAUAAAAGGUACUCCGGGGAUAACAGGCUGAUACCGCCCAAGAGUUCAUAUCGACGGCGGUGUUUGGCACCUCGAUGUCGGCUCAUCACAUCCUGGGGCUGAAGUAGGUCCCAAGGGUAUGGCUGUUCGCCAUUUAAAGUGGUACGCGAGCUGGGUUUAGAACGUCGUGAGACAGUUCGGUCCCUAUCUGCCGUGGGCGCUGGAGAACUGAGGGGGGCUGCUCCUAGUACGAGAGGACCGGAGUGGACGCAUCACUGGUGUUCGGGUUGUCAUGCCAAUGGCACUGCCCGGUAGCUAAAUGCGGAAGAGAUAAGUGCUGAAAGCAUCUAAGCACGAAACUUGCCCCGAG